rnacentral:rRNA from 1 species
GACAGAGGGUGCAAACGUUGUUCGGAAUUACUGGGCGUAAAGCGUGUGUAGGCGGCUAGGUAAGUCGGAUGUGAAAGCCCCGGGCUCAACUCGGGAAGUGCACUCGAUACUGCUUAGCUCGAGUACCGGAGAGGUUGGUGGAAUUCUCGGUGUAGAGGUGAAAUUCGUAGAUAUUGGGAAGAACACCGGUGGCGAAGGCGGCGAGCUGGUCCAUUACUGACGCUGAGGCGCGACAGCGUGGGGAGCAAACAGG